UCGUAACAAGGUUUCCGUAGGUGAACCUGCGGAAGGAUCAUUACCGAGUGCGGGCUGCCUCCGGGCGCCCAACCUCCCACCCGUGACUACCUAACACUGUUGCUUCGGCGGGGAGCCCUUUCGGGGGCGAGCCGCCGGGGACUACUGAACUUCAUGCCUGAGAGUGAUGCAGUCUGAGUCUGAAUAUAAAAUCAGUCAAAACUUUCAACAAUGGAUCUCUUGGUUCCGGCAUCGAUGAAGAACGCAGCGAACUGCGAUAAGUAAUGUGAAUUGCAGAAUUCAGUGAAUCAUCGAGUCUUUGAACGCACAUUGCGCCCCCUGGCAUUCCGGGGGGCAUGCCUGUCCGAGCGUCAUUGCUGCCCAUCAAGCCCGGCUUGUGUGUUGGGUCGUCGUCCCCCCCGGGGGACGGGCCCGAAAGGCAGCGGCGGCACCGUGUCCGGUCCUCGAGCGUAUGGGGCUUUGUCACCCGCUCGAUUAGGGCCGGCCGGGCGCCAGCCGACGUCUCCAACCAUUUUUUUCAGGUUGACCUCGGAUCAGGUAGGGAUACCCGCUGAACUUAAGCAUAUCAAUAA
rnacentral:misc_RNA from 1 species